ACACCGAGCUACCCUGCCGGCAGCACAGAGUGAACAGCGCCGUGCACCCAUCUGGGCCUGACCUGCCUACAUUGUUAGCCUAAAAUACUUUUAUCUGCGCAGCAGAGAAAAAGGAGCACAGACCUCACAGACAGACAGAUUGGGCUCAACAUGCACCUGGGCCUUGAGGAGAAUCUGCCUGUGCAGGGAGGCUCACAUGCUGACCGCGAGCAGACGGAACAAUCCUCGUUUGUUCAUGGAGAAACAAGACCACGGGUGACUCUGGGUAACUGAGACCUCAGGAAGUGAAACCUCAGAUAAAGGAUUCAACAGAGUUGGAUUGCUGAGAAUAAAAUUACGGAUUUCUCCAUAAUGGACACACGCACUUUUUGUUUGUGCUGUUUCCUUUAGAAUGGACGAUGAGUCAAAAUUGUUCGUUUAUGCUUCUUCACAGAAGGAUCUUCUGUGUCGUAGGAGGUGGCCUGCAGCAAUCUGGACAUUCAGUGGUCCUCCUGUGAUUAAUAGGUGAACGGAUGAGCUAUUCUGAUAAGAACUGGGGAACUUUUGCCAUUCAAAAGCAAAUAGAAGAACUGGGAGAUUCCUCAACUUAGCUUUUCUUUUUUUUGGUUCUAAAGUGACUGCGAAUGGAGGUAGAAGAGAAGAAAAGCUUUCAAAAACAUCUUCCAUUAAGAAAAAUAUGUAUCUUCAUGAAGACCUAUCUGAGUAAAAUUACUAAAACAUAAUGGCUUUCUUGAAAUAGAAUGGAAUGAAAGGCAUAUUAGGGAGUAUGAAAGUAUGAAGAUUUUAUUAACAUACUUCUAGAAGUUUAUUAAAUAUCUGCACAGGAACUGUAAUUUGAGAUCAGUGGUGGAAAGAGAAUAAAGGAAUCACGUGGACAUCAGCUCUGAGGCCUGUGGCCCCACUUGCUUCUGGGCUUUCUAUAGACAUUUGCUGGUGACCUGCCCAGGCAGGCUAGAGUACCCUUCCUCAUUGCACCCUGUGUUCCCAUCCUCUUUUCCUUCCUUCCUUCCUUCCUUCCUUCCUUCCUUCCUUUCUUCCUCCAUCCCUUAUGAAACCCUCGUUGUGCAGUUACUUAUUAGGUGCUGUGUGAGCGUCUGAAGUCUCCCCUCACCCACUUUUCCAUUUGGGCCACUUGGCCAGUGAUUGCAUCAGUACCAGGGUUCUAGGAGCCAUGCAGGGAUCCCCAGUGGGCAGAGCUGGCCGUAGCAUUUGGAAAGGAAGAGAGAGAACUGGAGACAAUGCCUAGGAACAAAAGCAGAGUCCAGACCCAGGCAUCAAGUGCAAAUCCAAAGGCUCUGGAUGAGUCAGUUCCCAGCAAAGGGACACAAGUAGGCACAGAAGGAAGGACAGCAGAAAACACUGGUCCAGAGAGGGCCUGCAGAGCCAGAAGCGAUGACGCAUCCAAGGUUGUGUUUGACUUCUGCACUGCCUCUGCAACCUGUAAGCACAUCUGAGCCAGUUCAGAAAGUAGGAAAACCAAAGUAUAUCAGAAAUGGCCUCUUAUCAUCAAGGAGAUUUUGGUCUAGAUUGCUUAUUGCUCAGGAGAAAUCACCACUUUUUAAAAAGAUAUGCUGAGAUAGGGUUUAGUUGGGAUAGAAAAGGUUAUUAAACUACGGGACACCCUUCCUUUACAGAGUGUAAGCACUACUACCCCUUUUGUUUGUCUGUUUUUCUUAUUUUUCUCACAGAUGCAGUUCCUGCAUUAGUAUUGAUAAAUGUGUGGCUGCUCCACUUGGAGUGUUUUCAAAGCAUAAAUCACAGCAUUGAUGGUGCUGUGGUUUGGCUCUUCCAGCCCUCUUAACAACGGUCUGAUGGACUUGGCGAGAGUCUAGCCACGUGUUCUGGCCUCUGUCACUCUCAUGGCUGAAACGCAUGCACACCCACAGAUGGGGGCCCCGUGGUAGAGAUGUGCCUCUACUUGUCAAAUAGACUGACUCCAAAUUCGGAAAUAUGCCUCAGGAAUCUAGAAAGAUAGAAAAGGAGUCUUCGUCACUGUAGGGUCUCAUUCACAAUAUGGAGGAGAGAUGGAGGGGAGUUUUUGGUAUAAAUUUUGCCUCAUAAAAAUUCUCCACGUUGUUUUGUACUGUAUGAGGGUAGCGAGAAAUUAGUUGAUGGUUAACAAUCAAGCUGGAGAAGAAUAUCCUCAAUUUUUCACAUGGAAAAUGAAAAACUACAACUCCUUCCAAAUAUAUGUAUGUUUCUUUUCUGAAGAUAGACGUGUGUGUGUUUGUGUGUAUCAUAUAACAUUUAUUUUUUGAUUUCUUUGUUAUCAACAGUAAAAAUACAGAAAAUGAUGCCAAAGAGAAUUUCUGAUUUUUCUUUCCUUGUUUUCCAUUAAAGUGUAUUACAAAUAAUGUCUUCAAACACAAUAGCAUGCAUAGUGGCUUAAAUUGGAUUCUUCCUGGGCCACUCUGUUUAGGAUCCAGGUUUUUAACAUUGUUCUUCUAAGUGCAUCCAUGUUUCCUGAGAUCCACAAAGCUUGAUCUCAUCCGUGGAACCACCUGGCCUAGAACCAGCUGCGGCUCUUACUGUGGUCCCCAGACGGGCAGCCUCUGCAUCACUGGGAGCUCCUUUGAAAGGCAGGUUCUUGGGCUUCACCCAAGACCCACUCAAUCAGAAACUCCAGGGGCGGGCCUAGCCAUCUGUGUUUUAACAGGGUGAGGCCGAUGCUGGUGCAGGCUUUACUGCUUCCAAUAGUUGUGCAAACUUGAACUAGAUGAUUAACUUUCUUAAAUCUCAGUUUCUUUACUUGUAAAAUGAAGCUAGUAUUAUUUACUCAUUGGACUAUUAGGAACACCAAGUUUAUAAUACAUUGUCUAACACGCUGUAUGUAUCACUUAAUAAGUGUUUUCUUCCUCUUCCCCAUCCAGAGCACUUUCUACCCUCUUCCCCCUCACCUGCCUCUAGACCAAUAAUAUAUCAAUUCUGUUUUUAUAAGGAAUUAGUCAACAUAAAAAUUUCAAUGUAGAUCUUGCAUCAAUUUGGUGCAAUGCACUUGGAGGCUAUUUCUAUUAGUACACCUUUAAAACAAAAUGCUGAACAACUGCUGUGUUGUUUUCUAGGUUAAAAGCAAUCCUCCCAAAGAAGUAGAGGUCUCAACUUUUACAUCUUGAUUUUACUGCAAAGAAUAUAGAAGGUUUAAAAGACAGGGUCUUUCUAUGUCUCUAGGAACUUUUGUGCUUCCCUCAUCUAGAAGAACCAGGAGUAACUCCUUCAUUGGAGAUCGUCUUUCACUUGGAGUUUAAAGCAUUUUGCUUAUGUGACACCCUUUUUUGAAAUGGCCUCUUUGAUGUGGAGAGGCAGAGGGUAUCUUAAUGAAUUCUAGACUGCUUUCUGCACAAUCCAUCUCUGAAAGCUGAGGAAGAUGGAUCCUGUUUUGUCAUCUAGCUUCUUGCUACUCAGUAUAUGUUCCAUAGGGACCAACAACAGUGGGAGCUGGUGAGAAAUGAGGAAUCUCAGACCCCUCCCUAGGCCUACAAAACCAGAAUCUGCAUUUUAAUAAGAUCUUCAAAUAAUUCGUACUCAUAUUACUGAUUUGACACUGGAUGAGUUCAUUGUAUCUAUUUAGGCAAAUAGAUAUGAAAAAUUAAAGGGAACUUUUCUGGCUGUUUGAAAACACCUUCUUUUCAAUGAAAAUUUUAAACUGCUUCCUGUGGCUCACAAUGGACCCAAAAUUAGAACUAAAUUCUGCCUAAGUGCUUUUCUUUAAACUGUAUCACCUAAGGGAUAUAUAAAGAGGCAAGAGUUUAGAACUCACUAAAUCUAGAAGACAUAACUCUAAAUAAGAGCGUGACGCAGGAAGUCAGUUGAUUGGUGGUGUCCCUGCAUCACUUUCUUGGAGACCGUCUUGCCCAUCCUGUAACCACACACUCUUCCUUCUUAUGCUUUGCGCUUCUCCAAUUCCGUAAGCACUGACCGGAGCAUUUCCAUUAAUGGAGUUGCCUUUCCAAGAGAUUUUUAUUACAGGGUUUUAAAAAUGAGGCCUUCAAAUUCUUAAGACCGAAAGGAAUGAAAGUAUAACUGUGAUUAUAAGAUUAUAGAAAUCAUCAUGGGUUGAACUUUGGGAGUAAGAACUCCUGUCUUGAACUGUUUAAAACAUGCUAGGAAGAUGACUAUUGAUUUGUUAGUCUGUCUAUAUCCCAAGAACUGUAUUCGGUGCGAGGGAUACUAGGGAACGGUGUCCUCUUCACAACACUUGGAGUCUAUACUUUUCUUGGGUAUACCAUCUUGUAAGAUUUUGAACCAGCAGAAUACUAGGGUGUACCCAAAUUUGUAAUGUAGCUGGUGCCCCCUGCUGGAACAGGGUUACUUAAAUUUCCAUCUUUUGGGCCAUCUGUGCCAGCAACCCUGUUAAGACACAGCCUUGCCAACGUAGCCUAUGGGUAUAAGAGUAAGUCAUUUAAUUAACCUCUGCUUCAGUUCCCUGACAUAUAAGAGUAGAAUAACAAUAGCAGCCAAUCCCAAGCUUCUUGUUGAAAGGUAGAAUUAAUUAGGGAUGACAGUAAAAUACUUCAUGAAAACUGGAUACUAAAUAGUGAUAAAUGUUUGAACAUGCCUCCAGUGUUCCUCUGGCAGGAAAUGACAAUGUGGUAUGUGUUAUUACUAGACUCGAUGUUGCUAAUUUUAUCUGGUUAUUAAUUCUCACUUGUCUUAAAGUUGAAAUGCACACAUACACCUUCAUCCACCCCAAUCAAUAUUACAUGAGCUGAAGAUUUUUGCUGAUAGCAUUCUCUAGUGAGCAAGAUGUGAUGAAGAAUGUGCUUCAAACAGAGAGGACAAAAUAGGUCAGUAAGUGUCUUUGUGUAUUACAGGUAUAAUACUUUGAAAAUCACUGAUUUGUACUCCUUUAUUGAUAGGGGGACUUCUCCUGACACAAGAGUGAGUCCCAGAGAAUAAGGGUCCCAGAGAUUGAAUUCCAUAUGAAGAAGGGAGGGAGUAUGAGAUUGAGGAAAUGCAAGGAGAAAUAAGAGUGCCCCAUUUUCCUGGCCGGGAAGGUGAUGGAAGAAAUAAAAAAGAAAGUGCUAAGGUAGAAAAGUCAGUGUGCAUCCUAUCUCUCCUUUCAUGGAUAGAACCCCAGUGGGGUUGGGAGUGGGAGAGUUUUAGCUAGAGGUAGGGCAAAACCCCAAGGACAUUCCAGGAGAAGUACUGUAGCUGGAAAGCUGUUUCUCCCAGGAGAAGCUGGGGUCAGUUGGCAUCCAGCAUGAUGUGUGGUUGGCCGAAAGAGGAGGCAAAACAAACAGGACUGAGGCAGGCUCCUGGUCCCACAGCCUGUGUGUGGUGUGCAGGAGAUUUUUAAAGUCCCUGCAGAAAAUGAUGAAGGAGUCAAAACUCCUAGGCUUGAGACCAAGGCUGCAGUUUGCAAAUUCUUCAGGGAUGAGGCAGGUGGCUGAGACCAAGGAUUUUGGAAAGAAGUGCCAUCACGAUGCCUGGAUGGCUGUGGAGUUAGGCACACUGCAGUGCUGUGGGCUCAAGGCAGGGGGGCAGCUCACCUAGAGCACAGGGGAGAUUGCAGAAUGCUAUGCAUUUGUAGGGCCCUGCUCUCUGGCACUCAUGCCACAGCCAGACUGCAACAGGCUCACCUAAAAGGCCUGGAAGUUACCUUGGAGAAGAGCAAAAGAUAUAGAACACCCAGAAUUUCCUUAAGGAAAUAUUUGAAUUAUUGGAUCAGACUAAGUUUGACAAACUGAGAAACUGGAUCAGCCCCAAGAAACAAGGAAGCUCCACUUGUCUUCAUACAUCUCACCCUAAAGUAUACAGUUGUGAACCUUCUACAUGGCUCAAAAAUUGUACCAAAAUAUGCCCAGAUUUCCAGGAUAAUUGGUGGCCCAAUUCUUCUAAGUACUGUCAAGUAUCAAAACACCUGUGUGAUGCUGAAGCCUACAUCUUAGAGCUUGUUACGAAGGAUCUGGUGUUUGUAGGAAUAGAAGAUUAAUGGAGUUUAUAGAGCCUCAAUGAGAUGAGGAGGCCAUUGUGACAUCACAUUAUCAAAAUUAUUAUGGGAUAUCAUGUUAGCAGAAAAGAGAUACGGGAGAAAGAAAUGGGGGUAGAAAAUCUUUAGUUGUUUACUAGAAAAGAAAAAAGCCAUAUGUGUUCACUGUGAUGACACAGAGGUGUUGGGGGGAAAAAAUAAAAUAAGACAAGAAGCCAAAUUCACGAAUGUUUAGAAACAAGUGGAAGCUGCGCACAUCUCUGAUCAUUCUGUUGACGCCAGCUUUACAAAAUGGAGGCCCACUUUAAAAAUAAGUGUACUGAAGGGUUAGGCAAAGGACAUGUUUUGUUUUUUUUGUCCUGAAAUCUGCAGUCACUGAGAUUGGUAUUAAUGACAUCACUAUUAUGAAUGCUGCGAUUUCAUCUAGUAUCUAUUCAGUUAACUGCGAACUUGAGGUCUGAACAAGUCCUCUCUUCCUGCUCCUCCCUGCUAAAUACAACUUUAAACUCUGGAAAUAACCUAAGAGACAACCAAAGGAGGGUACCAAAAAAAGGAAGAGGAAGGUGGGGACUGAUGAGGGAUCCAUACGGGUGAGGGACAACGCAGAGCCAGUGUCCUGUGUCUUAUCCAGGCAUCUAACCUAACAAGAAAGAGAACCCCAGGCCUGGCAGAAGGCAGCCCAGAUAGGCCCAUUUCUCCUUGGAUCCAAUGGGAAUCCUACUGAAAACACCAGGUGGGCUGGAGCACCAGCUAUCAAGGAUUGAACAAGAGUUAUGCCAAGGGCCGACACCUAGGGCCAGGGCCAGGGCAGUGAUCCUGUUUCUGCAGGUGUGAAGGGACUCUCUUCUUCCAUCUGGGGACAACUGGGUUCAGUGGGGAGGCCAAGCGCCCUGCCAGGGAGUCCUUUUCACACUGACCACAAAACCAAUAUCCAUUAAAAAUGGGCGAGUCCAAUAUGAUUUAUAAAUAAUAAUAUGAAAACAAAUACAAUGUUAACAUAUAGGAUUCCAUAACAUUAAAAAAUACCAUGAUCAAUGUGUUUAUUUCAGGAAUGCAAGCCUAUUUAAUAUUUAUAAAUCUAUUCUCAUCCACAUUAAUGAAUUUAAGCAUAAAAAUUAUAUGCUAAUCUCCCCAGAUAUUACAAAGGAAUAAGUAAUAGCCAAUCUUAAUAAAAAGAAAAUUUGUUAUAAAACAAGUGUAGAUGAAUUCUUCAUUGACACGAUAAAAUAUAUUUAUAAUAAUGCUAAAGAUAGUAUUAUGACUAGCAAGAAAAAAAUGUUAGAAACAUUCCCAUUAAAAUAAGAGAUAGGACCAGGGUGUUUGCUGUCUCUGGUCUUUAGCACUUUUCUGGAGCUAU
rnacentral:lncRNA from 1 species